CUCAGAUGUAACAUACCGUAAUCCUGACCUUUACUAUGAAUAAGAUGAGGCUGCUUUAUUUUUCUGUUGCCAUAUUGUCGCUCAUGCAGGUACCCCAGGUUAAGGCUGCAGGAUGCAAUAUUCUGUCAGUUACAUCUCCUUCAGCAUCAUCCUUUAAAGUGGUAUGGAGCACCUACAGCAGUGGUUCAAUUUAUGUACUGGACUUCAGAGUGGUGAACUCCACCACUAUUUCCCCACUGAUGGUGAUGCCGCCACCAACCAGCACAGAGAUGGUGGUACAGGGGU